GACGAACGCUGGCGGCGUGCCUAAUACAUGCAAGUCGAGCGGAAGUUGGAGAGCUUGCUCUUCAACUUUAGCGGCGGACGGGUGAGUAACACGUGGGCAACCUGCCCUGCAGAUCGGGAUAACUCCGGGAAACCGGUGCUAAUACCGAAUAGUUUUCGCCACCUCCUGGUGGCGUACGGAAAGACGGUUUCGGCUGUCACUGCAGGAUGGGCCCGCGGCGCAUUAGCUAGUUGGUGGGGUAACGGCCCACCAAGGCAACGAUGCGUAGCCGGCCUGAGAGGGUGAUCGGCCACACUGGGACUGAGACACGGCCCAGACUCCUACGGGAGGCAGCAGUAGGGAAUCUUCCGCAAUGGACGAAAGUCUGACGGAGCAACGCCGCGUGAGUGACGAAGGUUUUCGGAUCGUAAAACUCUGUUGUGAGGGAAGAACAAGUACCAACUAACUACUGGUACCUUGACGGUACCUCACCAGAAAGCCACGGCUAACUACGUGCCAGCCGCCGCAGUAA
rnacentral:rRNA from 1 species